GUACUCACUUCGACAGCAUGUAUACUAAAAUUAGAACCAUACAGAGAAGAUUAGCAUGGCCCCAGUGCAAGGAUGACACGUAAAUUCGUGAAGUGUUCCAUAUUUUA
ensembl:snRNA RNU6-1164P RNA, U6 small nuclear 1164, pseudogene